ACUUCUCCCGCUCUGCCCCUCCCUCCUUCUCCCUCUCUGUCGCAUUCCUCUACAUCCGUUGGCAGCGGCACCCCCACCACCACCCGCCUUUCCUCUCCCUCCCGUUUAUUCCUUCCGCCCAUCUGCUCGCACCGCCUCCCCUGCAAAUUUUCAUGAACGUACUCCACCCAGCCCAGGCUAGCGCCCUUACCGCCUCCCCUAAGAGCGCCCUCACCGCCGUCCUCGCCAUGCUAUGAGACCUGCCAGUCCUCGCAUCUGCUGCUUCAAGAUGGUCUCUUUCCUAUCAUCUCUUCGUAACUUUUCGCAAAAUCCUCCACGGAGUUCUUACACUUGCUGCUCCUAAAUCGCCCCAAUUGCACGUACAUCCCGCACUUUACAUAGUCAUGUCCUCCAUUUCUCCCUCUUAGUUGUAUAAUAUAUAUAUACACUCCUAAGUAUCCGUGCUUAUGCUCCAGCAUUACUAUUUUGUUCGUUAGAUGGGCCAAUAAUAUAGAUUUGCUUAUUGAAUUGGAAUUAGGCAUGCCGGAAACUCGCACAAAAUGAACUAAUACACAAGGAAUGUAGUUUUGCUAACAGUUUUGGAUUGUUUGCUCCGCCUAUUUUGACAUGUUCACGUCCGAAACAUCACCCAAUAUCCAAUUGCUCAUUAAUGUUUGUGCAGACACUUUGCUCUUCUCACGUUUCUUGAUACUUUAAUUGCCACAGCGCAGAGGUGAAUGCUUCCAUACCUGUCUAUUCGUGCCUCUGAUGUCAAGUUUACUCCGCCUUCAUUUUAUUCCUAUGUGAAUUUACUGUUGCAUCCAGUCUUUCUUUCACUUAGAUUUCAUGCUUACCUCUUUAAUAUAAUUAUGCCUUCCUUCUAGGAGAAAGGAAUAUCUUGCUAUAAUUGGUAUGCUAGGCUUACACUUGAACAAAAAAGGAGGAGCUUUGCUAAUAACAAAGAAUGUCAGAACAGGUCCGUCUAACUGCUAUACUCCACCAUGACCAUCGUCGCCCAUCCAUGGCAGCAGGCAGCUCCUGUGCCCAUCCGCAUCGGUCUGCCCCAAAUGCCAUUGAUGUAGUUACUGCGGAAGUGGUUGCAUGGAAUGGCAUACCUAAGCCUAGAUGGAGCCAUUUGAUCAAUAUUAAGGGAUGAGCAUAUGAAGCUAAAUUUUCAUGUCUUGAACGGAAAGGCAUGCCCCUAUCUACAUCAAUUGUCAUUCACUAUUUAUUUAUUUUUUUCACGGAAGCAGAUUAUCUAAUACAUCAAUUUUAAACCAUGGACAGGGCAAGGACAUUAUGCAAAAAUUGCUGUGAGAAGGAUCGGAGUCCAUGUAAUUGUCCCAAUACUUUGUAAUAAAUAGUAUUUAUGUUCAUCAUUACGUCACAUGUAUUGCGGAGAGUUGCUUGCUAAAUCAAUAAUACAGUCUAUUGAAAAUAAAGCAUAUCGUACCUCAAUAA